rnacentral:rRNA from 1 species
CGCUAGUAAUCGUAGAUCAGAAUGCUACGGUGAAUACGUUCCCGGGCCUUGUACACACCGCCCGUCACACCAUGGGAGUGGGUUGCAAAAGAAGUAGGUAGCUUAACCUUCGGGAGGGCGCUUACCACUUUGUGAUUCAUGACUGGGGUG